rnacentral:rRNA from 1 species
GACGAACCGUACGAACGUUAUUCGGAAUCACUGGGCUUAAAGGGCGUGUAGGCGGACCGGCGCGUCCCGUGUGAAAGCCCCCUGGCUCAACUGGGGGAGGUCAUGGGAAACGGUCGGACUGGAGCCCGGUAGGGGGCCAUGGAAUUCCCGGUGUAGUGGUGGAAUGCGUAGAGAUCGGGAGGAACACCUGUGGCGAAGGCGGUGGCCUGGACCGGUGCUGACGCUGAGGCGCGAAGGCGUGGGGAGCGAUCCGG